UAAUUAUUUUAAGCUUAGAUAUAUCCAAAAUAAAAGAAAGUGUAAAAAUAAACAAUUUCAUAUUCUUAAUUAAAAUGAAACUAGCACAAUUUUUUCAUUUAUUUAAAUUAACUACCUCAUGAAAUGAAAAAGAGAUGUAUUUCAUCAAGGUAAAAUAAAUCCUCUAAAACUAAAACGAAAGUUAUAAAAUCAGAUAUACCAAUAUAGCAUUCCUAAAAAUGUUUGUGUUAUCUGAAAUCGCGUACAUUGGUCUCCAGAAAUAGCAAGACUAAUUUACUUAAUUUUUUCCAAAAUGUGUACGGAAAUAUUGUUUACAUAAUAUAAAUGAGAAAAAUGACACUCAACAAUAAAUAAUAAAUAAUAAUAAUCUACCAUCAAAUACUUUGUAUAACAAAUACGACACCACAUAAGGGCGGGUACAGACUAGAACAUUUCAACGGACAGAACAUUGUUCGCGAACAUGUUUGCAACCAAUGUGGACGGGAAAACGAACAUUUCCCCGUAACAAAAAAUGUUCGGUUGUUUGUUCGGUUGCGAUCCGAUAUUUGUCGGUUUUUGCCCGUCACAUCAAAGGAUGUUCGCCGUGGCUCGGAUAACAGUCUGGACGUCGCUGCGAACACUUCCUGCGAACAUUCAGUUGUCGACGUGGAGCGGUGUUGUCUUCACGGAGUUAGUAGCGGUGCGUGACUCUUUGUUAUAUGAGAAUGGAGUGGUCCAAGGAAGAUCAAAUAAAACUGAUAGAUUUGUAUAAACAACAAACAGUGAUAUGGGACCCAAACAAUGUUAAUCAUUUCAACAAAAUUAGAAAACAAGACGCGUGGGAAGAAAUCGGGGCCGAAAUGGACAGAGAUGUGGACGAAUGUAAGAAGAAAAUGGAGAGUUUGCUAUCAGCAUUAAGAAGGGAGAGGAAGAAAAUGAAAGACACUGCUGGAACUGGAAAAGGAACUGACGAAAUGUACAGAAGUUCCUGGUUCGCUUUCGAAAGUCUACGUUUCUUGCUGGACAAAAAUAAACCAAGAAAGACAAUUUCGACGAUGCGAGUAGAAAGCGAAGAGAGAGACGUAGAAUGUGGUGCAGUUGGAGAAUCAGCACAGGAAACUGUACCGAAAAAGAAGAAGCAGCGAGUCGAAGAUGCACGUCUGGACAAAGCCUUUCAUAUAUUGUCGUCCACCGCGAGUCAGCUUAACGAUGAGUGCCAACAUUUUGGAAAUUUGGUCGCAUCUAAGUUGAGACAGUACAACGUUGAUACUAGAUGUACAAUUGAAAAUGACAUUAUGGGUAUUUUCCUUCGUGCUAACAGGGGUUUCUACAAUAACACUCAGAAUUUUAUACAACCACACUAUCCAUGUCAUUUUCCAUCGGACAACUCUGUCAUGCAGUCAAACACUGUAUUGUCCAACCCUACAACCCCGUGUCCUUCAGCAGGAUCACCUACCUUGACGUCUGAUGAUGAUGAUUUCAUUAUUCACGAUCUCUUAUAAAAUAUUUUUGUUUUAAUUACAGUGCUCCUAAUGAUUUGUAACACAGUGUAAACAACUUUGGCAUUUCUUAUAAAUAAAUGUAGAAAAUUACGUUAAUAAAUCUUUCAAUUACACAGUACCGCAGAAUAAGUCAAUACUUACCUUAAUGUAAUCCUCAAGUCCUUCGAUGAGAGCAGAACACACUUCAGGAAUAACUGUGCUGAUAGUCUGUUUUGAAAUUUUAAAUACAUACUGAAGGCUGGUAUACGAAUCACCAGUUGCUAAAAAACGUAAUGUCAAUGCCAGUCUUUCUGUAAUUGGAAUUGCUUUUCUGAACGACGUAUCUCUCUUACCAAUUUUCGCUCCUAUCAAAUUGAUCAACCACUCAAAAUCUGAUGGGUGCAUUCUUGUAAAGUUCUUGUAAAGACCACUGACUGACUGAAAACUUAAGUCUGCCAACAAGUUCGAGCCACUAUAUGUUGUCCUACUUUCAUACAGUUUUGUAAUCCACCAACGGCGAGAUUUCCUUCGCUUUUUAACCGCAUAGUGAAUGUAAAUAUAUACAGCUGCUGCUACUUGCGCCUGUGUACUCAUCGUGCCACUGCUAAGUACGGAAUGGGUCACAGGGAACACACCUCGAACAAUGUUCGCAAACAAUGUUCUUUCGAAAUCUGAACACUGUUCGUAAAAUGUGUCGAACACUGUUCGCUGUUCUGUUCGCUAAAAUGUUCUAGUCUGUACCCGCCUUAAUGGGAGGUAGUUAUCGUCAGUCGGCUGGUUGACUUGCCCACCUGGGCGUGACCUUCAACUGACGUCGCAUACCUUUCCACUAAAUUUUCAAACCAUCCUUUACAGGCAGUGAAACUGAUAUUACUGUCCGGAUAUUUACAUUUUAAUUUUUCAAAAAAUUAAAGUGUUUAUUUGCGUAUCACGGCUUGGUUCACACCAAUCCUGUCAGGCCUAUGAUUUUUUUUCAUUACACCAUUCAUUUGACAAUUUUUUUCAUGUGAAUCAUUUGUUCAUUUCUUUUCCGGAAUCUAAUGACAAAUAUAUUCCUGCUAGUACAACAAACAGCAUCAGACCUAUACAAACGUUUGAUAGAGUCCUUAUUUCAUACUAUUGUGCACACAGUUGACUUGCUUAAAACUAAAGUGCCACCAAAUUAAGUGUUGCUUUCAUGACGUUCUGCAUGCCGUAAUACUUCUAGUUUUGUCUCAAAUACUGAAACACGAUGCAUUAUGCUCUUACUGGAAGCUAUGAUUCCACUAUGAUUCCAACUGCAGGUGCUUGCACACAUAAGUUACCUACUGGCAGAUGUUGCUUUUGUUUGUGCAUGCGAGUUCCCUGCCACUGGCUAGACUGAAGCUCAUCACAGCUCAAUCUGCUGCCGGGCGAGACAACGGUACGGCAUGGCGGCAUAUUCGCAGACGUAAAAACAUUUGGUCCUUUAUACGAUACGCCAUAGCCGCAACUGAACUUGCCAUAGCUGAUGUUUGUACAACACUCGAUAGUAUAGUCAGACCUGUGCUCAUCUCUUUCCCUCUCGUAUAGCUAACUGUGUGCCACUGUAUUUCUGUUGUUUACCGAGUUGAAGCACACUUCGUGGUGUGAUGCCCGACUUCUUUUUUGCCUGUGGCGAUUUUGUGCUAAUUGAAAUUUAUAUGCUAUACAAGACUGGGGAAGUAAAAUUAACAUUGCGCUAAAUGAAUUUGUGCGAGAGAGGGAUUGGUGUACUUGAUCUAUACUAAAAAUUAAAAAGUCUUACAGAUACCCACUUUAUAAAGUUGUAAAUAGUUUUGUUAUGAAUUAAAUCUUUUAUACACCUAAUAGUGUCUAUUUCUUUAGUAAAAAUUUUUGGAAUUAAUCAUAUACUUUUUUUAUAGUGGUAAACUAUCAGCAGUACUCUGAAUUUGUGCGAGUGAAGCCAAUGUUUGUUUAAGUUUAUUAUAAAGUAUAAACUCAUAUGUCUGUGGCCCGCAGAUUAGUUUCAAAAGAGUGAAGUCAGUG